CGCCGCCGCCGCCGCGAGCGGGAGGAGGAGGAGGAGGAGGAGGAAGGAGGAGGGAGAGAAGAAGGGAAGGAGGGAGGCAGGUCCGGUGGCCCUCUCGGGUAGCCCCAGCGGCGAGGGAAAGAUGGCGACGCUGGGAGGCGAGUCGCAGCCCUUCCCCUCUGCUGCUCUGGCGGCGGCAGCCGGGGUGGGCGGCGGCGGCGGCGGCAGCGGGGCGCUGGGUCUUCAGGCGCCGCUGAACCGCGGUCUGGAGCGGGCGCUGGAGGAGGCGGCGCACUCCGGGGGGCUCAACCUGAGCGGCAGGAAGCUGAAGGAGUUCCCGCGCAGCGCCGCCGCCCUCAGCCACGACCUCUCCGACACGGUGCGGGCAGAUUUAUCCAAGAAUAGGUUAACUGAAGUUCCUACGGAGUUGUGUCAUUUUGUGUCACUGGAAUCACUAAAUCUUUACCACAAUUGUAUCAAAGUUAUACCAGAUGCCAUAGUUAACUUACAAAUGCUAACUUACUUAAAUUUGAGUCGAAAUCAGCUUUCUUCUUUGCCAGCUUGCCUGUGUGGUCUUCCUCUAAAAGUCUUAAUUGCAAGUAACAAUAAGCUAGGUUCCCUUCCAGAAGAGAUAGGUCAGCUAAAACAGUUAAUGGAAUUGGAUGUCAGCUGUAAUGAAAUCACAGCUUUGCCACAGCAGAUAGGACAGCUGAAAUCUUUAAAAGAACUGAAUGUCAGAAGAAAUUACCUCGAAGUUUUACCCCAAGAACUAGUACAGCUUCCCUUAGUAAAGUUUGACUUUUCCUGCAAUAAAGUGCUUGUGAUUCCAAUUUGUUUUAGAAAGAUGUUGCAGUUACAAGUAUUACUGCUUGAGAAUAAUCCUUUGCAAUCUCCACCAGCACAAAUUUGUACAAAGGGUAAGGUGCAUAUAUUCAAAUAUCUGACUGUACAAGCCUGUCAGAUUAAAACAGCAGACUCACUGUAUCUUAAUGCUAUUGAACCACAGCAUUUGCCACAACCUGUGGAAGAGAGCAUUGAUGACAUCUAUCCAAGUAAAAAGGACUCAGAUUCAGGUGUUGGUAGUGAUAAUGGUGAUAAACGUUUGUCAGCAACAGAGCCAUCUGAUGAAGAUACUAUCAGCUUUAAUGUUCCAAUGUCAGACAUUGUGGAAGAAGAUCAUAUUAUAAAGGAUGAUUCAGGUCACCAUGCUAACUCAAGAAAAGUGGAAUUCCAUCAAGGAUCUUCUCACACGUUUGUCAGUGAUAAAUCACGAGAAACAGGAAACCAGUUUGAUGAACAUGAUACUCUUACUACUGAAUUUAUGACCUACAUUAAGAGCAGAGCAGCAGAGUGUGAUGAAUUAUUGAGAAUAGAAGAGGACACGCAAUGGCAAGCAGACGAAAUAAUAAAUUUAUCAGAAGAACAAACUAUUGAUAUAGCAAUGAUAGAACAACUAAGAGAAGCUGUAGAUUUAUUACAAGAUUCCAACAGUGGUCAAAUACAGAUGGACAUGUCUUCUCUUGGUCAGAGAGAAAUUUCUGAAGAGGAACUGGAAUUCCAGAGGAGGAGGGAGUUGAUUAUGGAGAAAGCAAAGCCUGAAGCAAGACCUUGUGAACAGGGUGAAAAAUGGUCAUUGAGCCAGAAUGAUCUAAUUGUUUGGAACACAAGUGGUCAGACCUCUCACAAUGAGAAUAAGGAUAAAAGUCCAGCAAUGUCUCCUACUACAAACACCGCAAUCCCUUUUGGCCUGAAGCCACGAUCAGUGUUCUUAAGACCACAAAGAAAUUUGGAAUCAAUAGACCCACAGUUCACAAUCCGAAGGAAAAUGGAGCAGAUGAGAGAAGAAAGAGAGCUUGUGGAACAGCUACGUGAGAACAUAGAAACAAGACUAAAGAUCUGUUUGCCCGAAGACCUGGGCUCGGCUCUGAUGGAUGGUGUCGUUCUGUGCCAUUUAGUCAAUCACGUUCGCCCUCGGUCUGUCGGGAGCAUUCAUGUACCCUCACCAGCAGUACCUAAACUUAGCAUGGCCAAAUGCAGGAGAAACGUGGAAAACUUUUUGGAUGCAUGUAGAAAACUGGGAAUACCAGAGUUACUUCUCCAUAGUUUCAUCGUGAGACAUCCAUGAAAUUGCAGUAAGUUUUAUCAGGUAUGACUCAUUUCUCCACCUUUUCCCUCUGGAUUUGGUAAUGGACACUUUGGCCUACGGUAUGGAGUUAAGAGGUUCAAUACACUCUCAAUUACAGUCCUAAAAGCAGAGUUCUGAGCUUCCUUUCAUUUAUGUUUUGAGUAUAGUGCAUAUGCACUACAGAUUUCUUUCUUUAAUGCACUUCUGCAAACUUACUCUUGACUUUUUACCAGAGUGUAAAUCCAAGGAGGUCAGUUCUGAAAUGCUCUGUUUUCAGUUACUGCAGGAGCAUGCAGAAUGAGGGUGGUUUGUGCACACAAACAGCUGGUUAUGCUUUUGCUGUCCCAUUUCUGUCUUACUGUGUUUAUUCCCAGGUGAAUGAUUGACAGCUCUAUGAUUUAAUCAUACAGCUUCAUAGAUAUAACAUGUCAGUGCAUAAAUGUAAUUAUUAAAUAGAUAUAUCUUUUUCAUUCUUACUAGCAAAAAUUUUAGUCCUCUAAAUGAGAGGGGCAGUGUUUGUCAUAGAUGGGUGGAUGGGUGAUUAUCUUUGAGACUUGGUAUGGAGGUCAUAUGCUUUUUUACUAUUUCAUGAUGUCAUGUUUUAAUUUUGUAUUUUUAUUGCACAAUAUCAGUGCAGUAAGUGAAAAUACUUCUUCUGUUUUAGAAAAGCUAUAUAUUUUUCAUCUACAGUUACAUUUCAGAAAUCUAAAAUACAUAAAAUAUAAAUAAUUUAUAUUAUAAGGUGUGAAUAUAACACCAGGUUAUCCAUCAUCACAGAACACACUAAAAUAGAUAUUCCUAAGGCUUCCCCAAGUUUCACUGAAUUUAACUAAAACACAUCAUGGCAGUUCCUGUAGAAAGUUUCUUCUGCAUGUGUUGGCUGGUUUUGUAUGCUUUGGCUUCUCCUUAUGCUGCUUAGGAUGUUAAUCUUGGGUUAGAAACUUCAUCAGUAUCUGUAAAAAGUCAACCUACUACCAGCUCUCAGUCUCUAAAGUCUGAAAUUACUCCCCUUGCCAUUUGACUCCAGUAGGGACUAUUGGCAUUGUUUUGGGGUUUUUUUGGACAAAAAUUUUAAAAAGUCCUUGUUACAAAGGUCUGGCAUUUUAUUUUUAAAAUAUAAGUUGAAUGUAUCUUAGAUAUUUACUUUUGGUAUGUAUUUGCAGUAAGUAGGAUUUGAGUCUUGGAUAUUGUUCCAAAAUUAAUCCGGCAUUUACUGGGUUUAUUGGUGUCUUUGGUACAAAUGCAAUAUAUUAUGUAGUUGGUAGUCACGAAUAGUUUGCACUAAAACUUGUUUCUGUGGUAAGCAGCUUGUGGCUGUAGGUGUUCUCAAAUACAGUACUAAAUCCAUCCCAUUCUGAAACAAGAUCAGAAUGUUUUGUGCUGUCUGUGAGUUUCCAUACUCUAAAAAAUAACAGAAUUGCACUGAAGUUUAUUAUCACAUUACAGUUUUGAGUUAAAAAAUUCUGAAAAAGGACUGCAAAAAAAGUGCUGUUGCUAAGCAGGUUGGUUCUCUGCUCUGUAUCUGCUGGCCUAAGUAAAAAAAAAUUGCAGCUUUUGACUCCUGGUAAAGCUAGAACCACUCAUGGUAAGAAAAAAAUAAAAAAGGGAAAAAAGUGUCACUAUUAAAUUUGUGUAUGAAUGACAGUUUUGACUUCCAAUUUCACUAGCCACUUUUCAGGAUAAACAUUUUAAGUAUUUUAAAGUUUAAUUUAUUUCAAACUGGAGUUUCAAACUUUGCACCAACAGAAAACAGACAUUGAACUUCCAUGUCUUGUUUUAUUUGGUGUACUGUCAGUUCAUUAAGGAAAUGAGACUGAAAAGCUUCCACAGGAGCAGCAUUCUUUUAAAUUCUUACUGCAUGUAAUUUUGUUCAGUAAGUAUUCAUUGUCUCAGUAAGGCCUUAUUUACUAUGUAAAAUGGUGUAUCUUAGAUUGCAUUUUGAAAGUACUAGUGUUGCGUGGUUUGAUUUAAAUGUUAAAUAUUGUGUGAAUAUAUUGGUACUAUUACAUAUUGCACUUCAUAUUGUAUAGCUAGUCCAGAGGAAAUUGCCACAUCAAGUCAUUGAUACUUUCCAAAAAGGUAUGGGAAUCUAACCUGCUAAUAUUAUAAAAACUUCUAUGUAAGAAAUUUAGUGUCCAAUGCUUCAGUUUGGAAACUUUAUUGAAAUUAAGUAUAGUUAGUGCUACAAUGCCUUCUUGAGUUUCUAUCCCUGGGUAUCAUUUGAGGUGAUAUUUGGAUACCAAGUUUUAAAUUAUUAUAUUAGAGAAUUUUGCAUACUUCUAAUGAUUUCUGUAAGUACUUUUUCUUUAGAUUUCAUAUUGCUGCUGCUUGUGCUUUUAACAGCUUUCUAACCCACUCUUUGCUAUUUUUAAGUUAGUUUUUUCAGUUGGUUCCAUUUAAGCAUUUGAAUAAGGUCCAGAUGGGCAAAGAUGUGCGAACCUCAUUGGAAUGAGCGGAUCAAAAGCACUUCCUCACCCUUGUGAACUUGGGCACAAUUUUGGCCAAUUAGAAGGCUUGAGCUCUUCUGUCUUAACAUUCUGAUGUUAUAUGAUAGCUUGAUAGCUUCAGUAUUUAGAGGAAAUAAAAGAAAGCUGUGGGAUGUGUAGUGACUUAGGCAAUACUAGGAAGAAACUAUUCCUACAUGUUUAUGCUGGAAUAUUGUGAUAAUUUAUUUACCAAUAUCUUUCUGGUUUUGUAUUUUUAAUUUUUUGCACUCUUUUUCUGUUCUAAUGGCUGCCCUUCGGGAUAGGCUGACCUCUGCUCUCCGUAUGACAUCCUGCAGUCGGAUAUUCGUCACAUUCGAAAGACUGUUGACACUCUGCUCGCCCUCGGGGAGAAACCCCCACAAUCAACUUCUACUUUUCGCUCCUGGGAUCUAUUAGGCUUUUGUCUUUUCCAUAUACUUUUUAUAGUCUUGAUGUAUAUAACUUAUCACUGGAAUUUGCUAACAGCAUAACCUGUUCGCAUGUGCGCACAAACUUUCUGCUUUGUCUCUGAAAAAUUACAGGAGAAGCUCUGCCUACCACAUCACAUCCUAGAAGAAAAGGGCUUGGUAAAAGUGAGCAUAACAGUUCAAGCAUUGCUAGAUGUAACCACAGUGAAACAAGCUUUAUUCACAUGAAACUACUCUCUCUGCUGUUACCAGCUACACUGUGCCAUGAACAAAUCAAAAAGCUGCCCAUUUUUUCAAACUGCAUUGAAAACAACUCCAGUACUCCAAGAGUAUUCUUAUGAUUUUAAGCCCAUGUUUCAGACUGUACAUAUGUGUUGAACUACAAAGCAGAAACUGAACAGAAACAUUUUCUAGAGGAAGUUGGCACUUCACUGCUUUUAUAGCUCACUUUGUACAGUACUUACUAAAACAACACCUCUCUGCCACUUAAAAUCGUGUGGAGUACACAGCUGUCUUGCAGCAAGAUACUUUGUAUUACUAAACUAAGAAUCACUGUAAUCACCUGGGGGGAGGGAGAAGGGAGAGUAAAUCAGACUGCUACCACCUUAGGUUUUUCUGCAGUUGCUUCAGGCUAUUGCCUUUUAAAAAUAUCCAGACAUUAAAUAUUUAUAUAAAUAUUAUUUAUUAGUGAGUUGUUAUUCAUCCUUUGGAUGCAAAAUGUAAAUUAGGAAACUGUAUUUUAUUACUGCUUUUUUUGUGGUUAAACACUUUAUUUUAAUAUAAAUACUUAGUUAUUUUUUAUUCUACUUGGUGUGCAGUAGCUCUAGAUCUCCGUAAAUCGUAUUUUCUAAUAUGUAAGAUAAAAAGUAAACAAAAUAGGUGCUUCUAUUAAAAGAACAGCUAGCUGGAAUGGCAUUCUUUAUUUCUUGAAUCUGUGGAACCUUGGUAAAAAAUUGUCUGCAUUCCAUUGAGUUUCCUACAUUCCAGUAACACCUCUCCCCUCACUAGAUAGACUAAAUUGGCUGAAAGUGAGAGCACACCCAUUUUAUUUGUAUAUAGAUGUUUAAAAACAAAAGGAAAUAUGUAAACUUGAAAAAUAAAUGUGAAAAAAUAUUUUUGAUUGCUUAUUUUGCUAUGCACAAGACAUUUAAGUUUUGCCACAACAAAAUUAUUUAUGUGCAUUAGGAUCAUGUGUCUUGAAAUGUAAUUUUGCACUGUAACUUGAUUUCUUUUAAAGAUUACAGCACUACAGAACAAAUAGUAAAAAAUAGCACAAGAACGUUAACAAGAUUAACAGGUAGCCAAAAAAUUAACUUGUUUUCUUCAGUGAUUCCUUCAAGAGGAGACAAAAUGACUGAAAUUGCCAAAGGCAGUCUCAAAGACCUGAUCUUCCAAAUCCAACCUGCCUGGGUGCUUCUCUUUAAAAGUAUCCACAGAAUUAAGCACAAUGUUCUGUAGUGCACAUUUGCAGCAUCAGACCUCUACUUCCAUGUCAGCAAUAGGAAAUAAAAGUUCUUCUCCUUCUUACCACUUUACAUUUUUCAAAGAGGUUUUUAAAAGUAUACUUUAUUAUUAAGACAUCACGCAUUUUAGAUCAAAAAGUUCCAGCACAGUAAUUCUUCUGCUAUCUGGAACAUCCCAUUUUCAUUCACACAAGAAGCCAGUGAUGGGACUUGGGCAAGCAGGAUAGGGCAGCAGCAUGUGGUGAAAAGGAAAGCUGGCUGGGGACACACAAGCAGGGAGUUUGAAGUGUAGAGUGGCAAAAAAAAGAGGCAAGGGGGUGUGAGGACUAAAUAUUUAAGCAAGAGAAUACAGAGAGAGCCUGUUGUAUGAAGGCUUUUGGGCAGAGUGAUGCAUACUUGUCACUGCCCCCUUUAAACCCACCCAUGUUGAGCAGCAGAUCUGCUGGGCUUCAGCCAGUGCUGAGCGCAGAGCACGCACUUCAACACCACCACUUGCUCCAGGGCUGGGAGGUAGUGACAGCAGCGUGUGAGGAGGAGCAAAGGGGACUCGCAGACAAUGUGCCAGACAGUAUGCAUGGAAUAUCCAGUUACUUCAACCAAAGCAAAAACAUUUAUUUUAUAGAGGGAACAUAGACUUAAAUUGUAAUUUGAUUGGCAGCUAGCAUAUUGUUUCCUAUAAAAUGUACUGUGCACUUUAAAUGAAAAUGUAUUUUAAUAUUUUACAGAGCUGCACAAAUAUCUGUUUUGUCAAAAAGCACGAGCAAUGUAAAGAAAAUAAGUUUUCAAGUCAGAGUUUAUCAAAUUUUAGAAGCAUUCAAGGAUCAAGUAUAAAAAUAGGAAUAUUGAUUUCUGCAUCUUGAGGGUAAAAAUGCAGGUUUCCUGAGUAUUUUUUUACAAUGUAUAUAUGGCAACAUGAAGCUUUGUAAUUAUUAUUAUUUUGACAAAUCUUGUUUUUUCAUAAUUAAAAUUUUGUUUUUCUCCUGAUAGCGUCUUUCAGUAUUUGCUUGAACUUAGCUGUAAAUAAAUAGCUCUAAGUAUUUUGUAAUACAGCUUUUUUUAUGCAGUCUUAACCUGUAUGGCUAAAAAGAGAAUCUUCAUGAUCCUUUGUACAAUAUUUAUAUGUGCAAUAAAACAUGCAUGGCAAAUCUGUAAUACCCUCCGCAGUGAACAUAAUGUAUAUAGAAAAUCUUUACUGUAGUUACAAUUAAACUAUAUUAUUUGCAGAAACCCUUUAAUGCCUAUCCCUGUGCCUGGUGAUUUCUUGUAAAAGACAUGGUAGUUGGAGAGCGUAACACUGGAAAUUACGGGUUUGGGGAUGGGGGAAGAUGAUGAUGUGAUGCAAAUAAAGGCAUUUUGCAGCUAAAGUAGGUAUACGAUCCAGCUGGUA